rnacentral:rRNA from 1 species
GCAAGUCGAGGGGCAGGUCUGCUUUCGGGCAGAAGCGACCGGCGCACGGGAGCGUAACGCGUAUGCAACCUACCCACAACUAGGGGAUAGCCCGGAGAAAUCCGGAUUAAUACCCCAUAAUGCAUUGAAACCACAUGGUUUUAUUUGCUAAAGAUGCAUUGGUUGGGGAUGGGCAUGCGUCUGAUUAGUUAGUUGGUGAGGUAACGGCUCACCAAGGCAACGAUCAGUAGGGGGUCUGAGAGGAUGAUC